rnacentral:rRNA from 1 species
UACGUAGGGUGCAAGCGUUGUCCGGAAUUAUUGGGCGUAAAGAGCUCGUAGGCGGUUUGUCGCGUCGAAUGUGAAAACCCGGGGCUCAACCCCGGGCCUGCAUUCGAUACGGGCAGACUAGAGUUCGGUAGGGGAGUCUGGAAUUCCUGGUGUAGCGGUGAAAUGCGCAGAUAUCAGGAAGAACACCCGUGGCUAAGGCGGCUCUCUAGUACGGUACUGACGCUGAGACGCGAAAGCGUGGGGAGCGAACAGG